UGUGUAUGUGUGUAUGUGUGUGUGUGUGUGUGUGUUUGUAUAUAUAUAUAUAUAUAUAUAUACAAACACACACACAUACACACACACACACACACACACA